rnacentral:lncRNA from 1 species
UAAAACACGUACACAAUUCUUGAUAAACGUCACGACCCAAAUUUUGGGCCAUGACCGGCGCAUGGGCCCAAUGGACGUAGUCCACUAAGCCCAAGCAAGCCUACUUAUAUUACUUGGUUAUCAUUUCAUCCCAUAAGUUAACAAAGUCAUAAUUCAAAAUCUCAAUUCGAAAUGAUGAAAACCAUUGCCAACUCGUACUGGCAUUACUCAUUAAAAUAUACACAUAUUGUCUAUAGUAUGUAUUCUAAUAAUUAACAUCAAAUUUGUCUAUACAUGUCAAAAGGAGACUCGAUGUCCAGCGGAGAAACUCAACAAAUGUACAGCUACUGAAUGUCGAAACACCUAUCAAGAGUCGAGUCAAUAAAGGCACCUCGACCUAGUUUCCGACUACCUCCUGAUCUGAAAACAUGAAGUUGAAAACGGUGAGUAUAAACCCAGUGAGUGAACAAGGAAGGGAACAAGCAACAGUAAGGAAGGAUUUUAAAAAUCAUGAUGCACUUAUUUUAAAACAAUGCAAUUUAACUUAGUGCUUAUCAUAACCCCUCAGGAAAACCCCAAUUGAUUAAAUCACUUAAUGAAAAGGGUCCAUGCUCAACUAUGGUACUAAAGAAGUGGAAAAUAACACAACAAUCGAUCAAGAUAUUAAGCAAAACAGAAAGUUUUUCGCUGCAGUGAGAUUUAAGCCAUAAAACACAAACUUUCUCGCUGCAAUGAGAACCAUGUCUACUUAAACCCUCAAAACCCGAGAGUUUCUCGCUUCAGCGAGAAUGAAUCUCACUGCAGCGAUAAACAGGGCACCAGCAAAAAUUCUCCAUUUCUUCAAGAAAAGGCCAUCUUGCUGAAAUGAUAAAAACAACAUAAAACACAUAUAAUUUCUCAAAAUUUAACAUGUCAAGUUUCACAUGUAUUUCAAUCAUAUGCCAUAUUCAUAAGCUUUUAUUUCAUAAACAUAGAUAUACAUGAAUACAUAGAUAACCACCAAUAUCACCAUCAUCACACCCAGCUCAUCUGCAUCCCCCCACAUCAUGCACAUAGCCGGAGUCAUCGAGUGUAUCCCCUCACAUCAUGCACAGUCAGUGCCAUCGUGUACAUCCCCCCACAUCGUGCACACGGGCACUAUCAUUAUCCACCUCCUUCACCACGCCAUCACCGGCAUGUGCAUCCCCCCACAUCGUGCACACACACGGUUAUAAUCAUCACACAACAUCAACCAUCAUGCACAACAUAUAUAUCUAUAUAUAUAUAUAUAUAUAUAUACACCAACAUAAUGUAGUAGUGCACGAAUCCAUAACAACCACAUGUCACAACUAAAGUCAAUUAUCAAAGGCUUGUUCCCAAGGCACUCGUUUUUAAGAAAAGUUGUAUAAAAUCAUUCAAAUGCUUUGUACAAAACAAUCACAUUCCCAAAACGAUUUUGAAAUGCAAUUCACUUAACGGUAUUAUUUGAGCCUUUAGCCGAUCCCAACUUCCCUAAUUGUCUAAAUGGGAUGAUGGGGCUUCGUUGGAACCUAUCAUCACAUUAGCAUCACCAAUUUGUCAAUUCACAUACUUAUAAAGUCUAAAGCUUUCUCUUAGCUAGCUUCGAAUUACCAUUUAAAUGGCUAUCUAUUUUCACUACCCUAAUCACUCUAAAAUGAGUGGAUGACCUCAACUACAAAUAUUCACAAUUCCCUAAAAUAUCUACAAGCACAUGCUAUCCAUAAUUUUUGUAAUUAAAAUAAAUCAUACUUAUAGGUUUAUAUUUAUGAAAAUUUUAAAAUUGACACCCCCUACUGACCUUGGUAGCUUGAAACUUUGAAAUUCUUUUCAAUAAAUUUUCCAAGCUAUUAUGGGAGCUUUCUCUCUCUUUCUCUCUCUAAACACUUAGCUAGUGAGAGAAAGUAUGAAAGUGGGAUUUUUCAAGGGUUUUAAAGUGAGAGAGUGAAAGAGCACAAGGAUUUCAUAAAAAAGUGCACCGAGGCAUGAAUAUUGGAGCUAAAGAGAGAAAGUUAUGGAAGCUUGAAAAGGACUCCCAUGGAGGAUGAAUA